rnacentral:rRNA from 1 species
CCUACGGGAGGCAGCAGUGAGGAAUAUUGGUCAAUGGACGAGCGUCUGAACCAGCCAAGUAGCGUGAAGGAUGACUGCCCUAUGGGUUGUAAACUUCUUUUAUAAAGGAAUAAAACGAGGCACGUGUGCCUUUUCGCAUGUACUUUAUGAAUAAGGAUCGGCCAACUCCGUCCCAGCAGCCGCGGUAAUACGGAGGAUCGGAGCGUUUUCCGGAUUUAUUGGGUUUAAAGGGAGCGUAGAUGGGUUGUUAAGUCAGUUGGGAAAGUUUGCGGCUCAACCGUAAAAUUGCAAUUGAUACUGGCAGUCUUGAGUACGGUUGAGGUAGGCGGAAUUCGUGGUGUAGCGGUGAAAUGCUUAGAUAUCACGAAGAACCCCGAUUGCGAAGGCAGCUUACUAAACUGUGACUGACAUUGAUGCUCGAAAGUGUGGGUAUCAAACAGGAUUAGAUACCCCAGUAGUC